rnacentral:rRNA from 1 species
AGAGUUUGAUCCUGGCUCAGGAUGAACGCUGGCGGCGUGCUUAACACAUGCAAGUCGAACGAACCUUCGGGUUAGUGGCGGACGGGUGAGUAACGCGUGGGAAUCUGCCCUCAGGAGGGGGAUAACGGCUGGAAACGGCCGCUAAUACCCCAUAUGCCGAGAGGUGAAAUGAAUUUCGCCUGAGGAUGAGCCCGCGUCUGAUUAGCUUGUUGGUGAGGUAAUGGCUCACCAAGGCUUCGAUCAGUAGCUGGUCUGAGAGGAUGAUCAGCCACACUGGGACUGAGACACGGCCCAGACUCCUACGGGAGGCAGCAGUGGGGAAUUUUCCGCAAUGGGCGCAAGCCUGACGGAGCAACGCCGCGUGAGGGAUGAAGGCCUCUGGGCUGUAAACCUCUUUUCUCAAGGAAGAAGAUCUGACGGUACUUGAGGAAUAAGCCACGGCUAAUUCCGUGCCAGCAGCCGCGGUAAUACGGGAGUGGCAAGCGUUAUCCGGAAUUAUUGGGCGUAAAGCGUCCGCAGGCGGCCUUUCAAGUCUGCUGUUAAAACGUGGAGCUUAACUCCAUCAAGGCAGUGGAAACUGUUGGGCUUGAGUGUGGUAGGGGCAGAGGGAAUUCCCGGUGUAGCGGUGAAAUGCGUAGAUAUCGGGAAGAACACCAGUGGCGAAGGCGCUCUGCUGGGCCAUAACUGACGCUCAUGGACGAAAGCCAGGGGAGCGAAAGGGAUUAGAUACCCCUGUAGUCCUGGCCGUAAACGAUGAACACUAGGUGUCGGGGGAAUCGACCCCCUCGGUGUCGUAGCCAACGCGUUAAGUGUUCCGCCUGGGGAGUACGCACGCAAGUGUGAAACUCAAAGGAAUUGACGGGGGCCCGCACAAGCGGUGGAGUAUGUGGUUUAAUUCGAUGCAACGCGAAGAACCUUACCAGGGUUUGACAUCCUGCGAACCUCUAAGAAAUUGGAGGGUGCCUUCGGGAACGCAGUGACAGGUGGUGCAUGGCUGUCGUCAGCUCGUGUCGUGAGAUGUUGGGUUAAGUCCCGCAACGAGCGCAACCCACGUUUUUAGUUGCCAGCAUUCAGUUGGGCACUCUAGAGAGACCGCCGGUGAUAAACCGGAGGAAGGUGUGGAUGACGUCAAGUCAUCAUGCCCCUUACAUCCUGGGCUACACACGUACUACAAUGCUACGGACAAAGGGCAGCAAUCUCGCGAGAGCUAGCAAAUCCCAUAAACCGUGGCUCAGUUCAGAUCGUAGGCUGCAACUCGCCUACGUGAAGUAGGAAUCGCUAGUAAUCGCAGGUCAGCAUACUGCGGUGAAUACGUUCCCGGGCCUUGUACACACCGCCCGUCACACCAUGGAAGUUGGCCACGCCCGAAGUCGUUACUCCAACCCUUGUGGAGGAGGACGCCGAAGGUGGGGCUGAUGACUGGGGUGAAGUCGUAACAAGGUAGCCGUACCGGAAGGUGCGGCUG